rnacentral:lncRNA from 1 species
CGGCAGGCCAGGUUCCGAGUGUGCGUCUUCGGGAAACUUAUGUGCGCUAGUCGGUUCGCUCGAUGCCUGGGCUUGUGGGUCGAAUUGAGGUGCCGGAGUCCGCUACUGCCUAGCGCGCCUGGCGGGAGCCGCCGGCGUUGGCCACCCGCCGCCUGGGUGUGUGCCCCAGUGACCACAGGUGCCCCGGCGUCAGUUCUGGAAGAAACCUGAGAGCAGGGUGGCUUGGGUCGUGGGAGCCAUGGUGAAGACGAACAGUGUCCCUGACGGCGGCUGGCUUUGCUUUUUCAGAGGAAAUAGACUCUCACACAGGAACUGCAACACUGACUGCCAGCUUCAUCAGCAGAUAUCCUUCUCUCCUGUCUCAGAUGCAGAGG